UACGGAGGGUGCAAGCGUUGUCCGGAUUUAUUGGGUUUAAAGGGUACGUAGGCGGGAUAUCAAGUCAGUGGUGAAAUCCGGCGGCUCAACCGUCGAACUGCCAUUGAUACUGAUGUUCUUGAGUGUGACUGAGGUGGUUGGAAUGUGUAGUGUAGCGGUGAAAUGCAUAGAGAUUACGCAGAACACCGAUUGCGAAGGCAGAUCACUAGGUCAUCACUGACGCUGAGGUACGAAAGCGUGGGGAGCGAACAGG
rnacentral:rRNA from 1 species